rnacentral:rRNA from 1 species
UACGAGGGGGGCGAGCAUUAUCCGGAAUUACUGGGCGUAAAGCGUCUGUAGACUGCAUUCUGAAUAUGCUUUUGGUAAAAUCUAAAGGCUUAACCUUUAAUCUGCCUUAAGAACAGGUUUGCUAGAGUAUAAUUGUAGAUCGUAGAAUUCUAUGUGAAGGGGUGGAAUCCAAAAAUAUAUGGAGGAAUGCCAAAAGCGAAAAGCAACGAUCUAAAUUAUUACUGACGUUGAGAGACGAAAGCGUAGGUAGCCAACAGG